rnacentral:misc_RNA from 1 species
UACGGAGGGUGCGAGCGUUAAUCGGAAUUACUGGGCGUAAAGGGCGCGUAGGCGGCUAGGUAAGUGAGAUGUGAAAGUCCCGGGCUUAACCUGGGGAAGCCAUUUGAUACUGCUUAGCUAGAAUACAGUAGAGGUAAGUGGAAUUUCCAGUGUAGCGGUGAAAUGCGUAGAGAUUGGAAGGAACACCAGUGGCGAAGGCGGCUUACUGGACUGAUAUUGACGCUGAGGCGCGAAGGCGUGGGUAGCGAACAGG